rnacentral:rRNA from 1 species
AGAUUGAACGCUGGCGGCAUGCCUAACACAUGCAAGUCGAACGGGAGUAGCAAUACUCUAGUGGCGGACGGGUGAGGAAUACGUAGGAAUUUGCCCUUAAGUGGGGGAUAACCCGGGGAAACCCGGAUUAAUACCGCAUGACCUCGAAAGAGCAAAGUGGGGGAUCGCAAGACCUCACGCUUUUGGAGAAGCCUACGUCGGAUUAGCUAGUUGGUGAGGUAAUGGCUCACCAAGGCGACGAUCCGUAACUGGUCUGAGAGGAUGAUCAGUCACACCGGAACUGAGACACGGUCCGACUCCGUACGGGAGCAGCGAGUGGGGAAUUAUGGACAAGUGGG